rnacentral:rRNA from 1 species
UACGUAGGGUGCAAGCGUUGUCCGGAAUUAUUGGGCGUAAAGAGCUCGUAGGCGGUUUGUCGCGUCUGCUGUGAAAACUCGGGGCUUAACCCCGGGCCUGCAGUGGGUACGGGCAGACUAGAGUGCGGUAGGGGAGACUGGAAUUCCUGGUGUAGCGGUGGGAUGCGCAGAUAUCAGGAGGAACACCGGUGGCGAAGGCGGGUCUCUGGGCCGUUACUGACGCUGAGGAGCGAAAGCGUGGGGAGCGAACAGG